rnacentral:rRNA from 1 species
ACCUCGGGGCGCAGCAGUGAGGAAUAUUGGUCAAUGGGCGGGAGCCUGAACCAGCCAAGUCGCGUGAGGGAAGAAGGUACUGAGUAUUGUAAACCUCUUUUGCCAGGGGACAAAGGCGGCCACGGGUGGCCGUAAGAGGGUACCUGGAGAAAAAGCAUCGGCUAACUCCGUGCCAGCAGCCGCGGUAAUACGGAGGAUGCGAGCGUUAUCCGGAUUUAUUGGGUUUAAAGGGUGCGUAGGCGGUCGGAUAAGAUAGAGGUGAAAUCCCGAGGCUCAACUUCGGAAUUGCCUCUGAUACUGUUCGG